CACCUAUUGGGAUGCCACCUCAACACCAUAUCAGCAAUCAUCUUAACCAGACGCCACCUCAACACCACAUCAGCAAUCAUCUCAACCAAGAGGAUAAUGCCAAAUGGAAGAGUCAAAAUCAAAAGAACCAAUCACCAUGCCACCUCAUACAAGUUGACACGUCACCCAAAUUCAAAGUCCAAGAGGUCGGCCACAAUUUAAAUGCAAGAAAAUUUCAAAUGGGAGCCAACAAUUUUUCAAAUCCUCCCCCUUAAAGCCGGCCAACUUUCUUUUCUUUUCUCUAGCAACCAAGCCUUCAAAUGUGGAGCGCCAUUCAUUAUGUGUUUAAAUUUCAAAUCAUGAGGAAAGUCUAUAAAUACCU
rnacentral:lncRNA from 1 species